rnacentral:sRNA from 1 species
CUUUAGCCCCGAUUGAAGUGGCAUCCCGAGAAUUCGGGAUAUAACGGAAAGCGGGAAAAUGG